rnacentral:miRNA from 1 species
ACUCUUCCCUCCCUCGGCCGGC